GUUGUACUCCCUCCGUUUGGAAUUACUUGUCGCUAAAAUGGAUGUACCUAGAACUAAAAUACGUCUAGAUACAUCCAUUUCUGCGACCAGUUAUUCCGAACAGAGGGAGUAAGAG
rfam:Triticum aestivum genome assembly, contig: Triticum_aestivum_CS42_TGACv1_scaffold_195578_3AL